rnacentral:misc_RNA from 1 species
GGGUUUCAGGCUGCACAUGGCUUGGGUUGUACUCUCUGCUGCUGCCUGCUCGCUUUCGUUUGUUUUCGCCUCGCUCUCAAGUUUCGGGGCUCUAAUGCCCCUCCCGUGCCACCGGUGACUGCAUCGAGCGCUCAGCAGGUUCUGUUCUGCCCUUCCGUUACGUUAGCGCCCUCCCCCCACCCACCCACCCACCCACCCACACCCACACACACACAACGCCACCCCGACUACCGGCGCUAGAAAGCAAGCUAGACCUCCGGGCGUGGGUUCACGUCACGGCCAAAGACGAAGGUUUCUUAAAGUUCCUACCGGCGCCACUUGCGUAGCUCGCGCACAGGGCAGCACUCCUCCUCGUGUUCCGCUGAGGUGAUCACCUUCCUCCCCUCAGCUCAUUUUUCCUUUUUCGCUCCUCUGCCGCUUGUUUAGCGCUCCCCAUUCUUUGAUCCCCUGCCUCGGAUAUUCCUGAUCGUCCCACAUCACAUCCCCUCGCCCGCCUCGCAG